GUGAUUGCUUCAGCAGCACAUAUACUAAAAUUGGAACAAUACAGAAAUUAGCAUGGCCCCUGCCCAAGGAUGACAUGCAAAUACAUGAAGCAUUCCAUAUUUUU